AAAAAAGGUAAGCUACUAAGAGCGAAUGGUGGAUGCCUUGACUGGUAAAGGCGAUGAAGGACGUACUAGACUGCGAUAAGCUACGGGGAGCUGUCAAGAAGCUUUGAUCCGUAGAUUUCCGAAUGGGGCAACCCAAUGUAUAGAGAUAUACAUUACCUAUAUAGGAGCGAACGAGGGGAAUUGAAACAUCUUAGUACCCUCAGGAAAAGAAAUCAAUAGAGAUUGCGUCAGUAGCGGCGAGCGAAAGCGCAAGAGGGCAAACCCAGUGCUUGCACUGGGGGUUGUAGGACUGCAAUGUGCAAGAGGUAAGUUUAGCAGAACAUUCUGGAAAGUAUAACCAUAGAGGGUGAUAGUCCCGUAUGCGAAAAACAAACCUUAGCUAGCAGUAUCCUGAGUAGGGCGGGACACGAGGAAUCCUGUCUGAAUCCGGGUCGACCACGAUCCAACCCUAAAUACUAAUACCAGAUCGAUAGUGCACAAGUACCGUGAGGGAAAGGUGAAAAGAACUGAGGUGAUCAGAGUGAAAUAGAACCUGAAACCAUUUGCUUACAAUCAUUCAGAGCCCUAUGUAGCAAUACAGGGUGAUGGACUGCCUUUUGCAUAAUGAGCCUGCGAGUUGUGGUGUCUGGCAAGGUUAAGCAAACGCGAAGCCGUAGCGAAAGCGAGUCUGAAUAGGGCGCUUAGUCAGAUGCUGCAGACCCGAAACGAAGUGAUCUAUCCAUGAGCAAGUUGAAGCUAGUGUAAGAACUAGUGGAGGACUGAACCCAUAGGCGUUGAAAAGCCCCGGGAUGACUUGUGGAUAGGGGUGAAAGGCCAAUCAAACUUCGUGAUAGCUGGUUCUCUCCGAAAUAUAUUUAGGUAUAGCGUUGUGUCGUAAUAUAAGGGGGUAGAGCACUGAAUGGGCUAGGGCAUACACCAAUGUACCAAACCCUAUCAAACUCCGAAUACCUUAUAUGUAAUCACAGCAGUCAGGCGGCGAGUGAUAAAAUCCGUCGUCAAGAGGGAAACAACCCAGACUACCAGCUAAGGUCCCUAAAUCUUACUUAAGUGGAAAACGAUGUGAAGUUACUUAAACAACCAGGAGGUUGGCUUAGAAGCAGCCAUCCUUUAAAGAAAGCGUAAUAGCUCACUGGUCUAGUGAUUUUGCGCGGAAAAUAUAACGGGGCUAAAGUAAGUACCGAAGCUGUAGACUUGCACACAACUUAGAUUAUUUAAGUUUAGAAUAUGAGAAACUAAGUUAUAUGUUUAGUUAUAUUUUUACUGAUUUUUAUAGAGUAAAGAUAGAAAUAAAACUUAGUAAAAUCAGUAAAAAUAUUCUUAGACUAAAGUUAAGUAGUUUAAGUUGUGUGCAAGUGGUAGGAGAGCGUUCUAUUUGCGUCGAAGGUAUACCGGUAAGGAGUGCUGGAGCGAAUAGAAGUGAGCAUGCAGGCAUGAGUAGCGAUAAUUAAUGUGAGAAUCAUUAACGCCGUAAACCCAAGGUUUCCUACGCGAUGCUCGUCAUCGUAGGGUUAGUCGGGUCCUAAGUCGAGUCCGAAAGGGGUAGACGAUGGCAAAUUGGUUAAUAUUCCAAUACCAACAUUAGUGUGCGAUGGAAGGACGCUUAGGGCUAAGGGGGCUAGCGGAUGGAAGUGCUAGUCUAAGGUCGUAGGAGGUUAUACAGGCAAAUCCGUAUAACAAUACUCCGAGAACUGAAAGGCUUUUUGAAGUCUUCGGAUGGAUAGAAGAACCCCUGAUGCCGUCGAGCCAAGAAAAGUUUCUAAGUUUAGCUAAUGUUGCCCGUACCGUAAACCGACACAGGUGGGUGGGAUGAGUAUUCUAAGGCGCGUGGAAGAACUCUCUUUAAGGAACUCUGCAAAAUAGCACCGUAUCUUCGGUAUAAGGUGUGGUUAGCUUUGUAUUAGGAUUUACUCCGAAAGCAAGGAAACUUACAACAAAGAGUCCCUCCCGACUGUUUACCAAAAACACAGCACUCUGCUAACUCGUAAGAGGAUGUAUAGGGUGUGACGCCUGCCCGGUGCUCGAAGGUUAAUUGAUGGGGUUAGCAUUAGCGAAGCUCUUGAUCGAAGCCCGAGUAAACGGCGGCCGUAACUAUAACGGUCCUAAGGUAGCGAAAUUCCUUGUCGGUUAAAUACCGACCUGCAUGAAUGGCGUAACGAGAUGGGAGCUGUCUCAAAGAGGGAUCCAGUGAAAUUGUAGUGGAGGUGAAAAUUCCUCCUACCCGCGGCAAGACGGAAAGACCCCGUGGACCUUUACUACAGCUUGACACUGCUAUUUGGAUAAGAAUGUGCAGGAUAGGUGGGAGGCUUUGAGUAUAUGACGCCAGUUGUAUAUGAGCCAUUGUUGAGAUACCACUCUUUCUUAUUUGGGUAGCUAACCAGCUUGAGUUAUCCUCAAGUGGGACAAUGUCUGGUGGGUAGUUUGACUGGGGCGGUCGCCUCCCAAAUAAUAACGGAGGCUUACAAAGGUUGGCUCAGAACGGUUGGAAAUCGUUCGUAGAGUAUAAAGGUAUAAGCCAGCUUAACUGCAAGACAUACAAGUCAAGCAGAGACGAAAGUCGGUCUUAGUGAUCCGGUGGUUCUGUGUGGAAGGGCCAUCGCUCAAAGGAUAAAAGGUACCCCGGGGAUAACAGGCUGAUCUCCCCCAAGAGCUCACAUCGACGGGGAGGUUUGGCACCUCGAUGUCGGCUCAUCGCAUCCUGGGGCUGGAGCAGGUCCCAAGGGUAUGGCUGUUCGCCAUUUAAAGCGGUACGCGAGCUGGGUUCAGAACGUCGUGAGACAGUUCGGUCCCUAUCUGCCGUGGGCGUAAGAAGAUUGAAGAGAUUUGACCCUAGUACGAGAGGACCGGGUUGAACAAACCACUGGUGUAGCUGUUGUUCUGCCAAGAGCAUCGCAGCGUAGCUAAGUUUGGAAAGGAUAAACGCUGAAAGCAUCUAAGCGUGAAGCCAACUCUAAGAUGAAUCUUCUCUAAGCUCUCUAGAAGACUACUAGUUUGAUAGGCUGGGUGUGUAAUGGAUGAAAGUCCUUUAGCUGACCAGUACUAAUAGAGCGUUUGGCUUAUCUUUAAUAAAGCAU
rnacentral:rRNA from 1 species